rnacentral:rRNA from 1 species
GAUGAACGCUGGCGGCGUGCCUAAUACAUGCAAGUCGAGCGAACAGACGAGGAGCUUGCUCCUCUGACGUUAGCGGCGGACGGGUGAGUAACACGUGGAUAACCUACCUAUAAGACUGGGAUAACUUCGGGAAACCGGAGCUAAUACCUGAUAAUAUAUUGAACCGCAUGGUUCAAUAGUGAAAGACGGUUUUGCUGUCACUUAUAGAUGGAUCCGCGCCGCAUUAGCUAGUUGGUAAGGUAACGGCUUACCAAGGCAACGAUGCGUAGCCGACCUGAGAGGGUGAUCGGCAACACUGGAACUGAGACACGGUCCAGAAUCCUACGGGAGGCAGCAGUAGGGAAUCUUCCGCAAUGGGCGGAAGCUUGACGGAGCAACGCCGCGUGAGUGAUGAAGGUCUUCGGAUCGUAAAACUCUGUUAUUAGGGAAGAACAAAUGUGUAAGUAAAUAUGCACGUCUUGACGGUACCUAAUCAGAAAGCCACGGCUAACUACGUG